rnacentral:rRNA from 1 species
CCUACGGGAGUCAGCAGUGGGGAAUAUUGCGCAAUGAGCGAAAGCCUGACGCCGCGACGCCGCGUGAGGGAUGAAGGUCUUCGGAUCGUAAACCUCUGUCAGCAGGGAAGAACGGUCACUGUGCUAAUCAGCAGUGAAUUGACGGUACCUGCAAAGGAAGCACCGGCUAACUCCGUGCCAGCAGCCGCUGUAAUGCGGAGGGUUCGAGCGUUAAUCGGAAGUACUGGGCGUAAAGCGCUCGUAGGCGGUAUGUCAAGUCAAGGGUGAAAUCCCCGCGCUCAACGUGGGAACUGCCUUUGAAACUGGCAAACUGGAGUGUGUGAGAGGAGAGUGGAAUUCCAGGUGUAGGAGUGAAAUCCGUAGAGAUCUGGAGGAACAUCAGUGGCGAAGGCGACUAUCUGGCACAUAACUGACGCUGAGGAGCGAAAGCGUGGGUAGCAAACAGGAUUAGAUACCCGAGUAGUC